GUAACGUCUUCAUUUAUAGAGUUAUCCAAUCAUUAAGGUCUUCUUCACCAAUCCGCUCACUCUCUCGAACUGAUUAUCAACAUAAACCAGAAACGUAUGGUCUUCAGCUCGGGAACUCCAACGAACUGAUACAUUUCACGAAAAGGAAUUGCAGCAUAUAGAUAUUUCAUUUCGCUUCAAAACAUAGUAAUCCAUCAGGUUUCGCGUACUGAACUGAAGACUGGACGUACUCCUUAUCCUGUUGUCACAAGGCUUCUUCGUUUUUGGGAACCACGUAGUCUCAAGAAAUGUGGUGAUCUUAUGCGUCCACAUGCCACUCCUUGAUGAGAAGGUCAUUGCAUUUUGUUAUUUUCUCCUAAACUUUAUAUAUUCAAAAUAUUACUGGAUCGUUGUCAUCUUCUCAGUCGACGCUCAUUCAAGGUUCAAUCAAUGUCGACCAAUUGAUCACUUUCAGACAUCUACCAUCUACUUAAGUUAACGUCUAGGGUGAUUAAUCUUCACCAAGGAUAUGGAUUCAUUGAGCUCUGAACUUUGAAGCAAAGAAAAUGAUGACUAGGCAAUUAAGGUUCUUAACAUGAUUAAGCUCCAUGGGAAGUCUAUAUGUGCUAACCGGGCGUCUCAAGAUAAGAAGAGCUUGGAUGUUGGUGCUAACCUUUUUCAUUGGAAACCUUGACCGUGGAAUGGCCGGACAAUGUCUCAGUAAUUGUCAAAUAACAGUCUCUUUAGCUUACAAGAAAUACACCAAAGGCGAGCACCAACAAGUCAGUAAUCUUAUGUGCAACCUCUACAAUGUUUAAAUGCACUGGUCUUCCAAAACCAAACCCGAAUGUUCACAAUGUCUACAUAUACUUCUAUGGUGUCUUAACUGUGUAUUGCUCACAAUUCAUUGUUUACAUGAAUUAUAACUAUUUAAGUUAUAUACACCAUAAUUAAAAAUUCUGAUUUUGUCUUACUUGAAUGAUGUAACGAAAGAGAAGAUGAGAGAUUUAAUGAAACAAAUUUGGGAUGUAAGGUCAAGAUCCAAGCAAUUAAAGGAGAAGAUCACUUCAUUGUGGUUAGAGAACAUUACGGAAGCUUUAUUAGGACAGCUACAUAAAAGCAAAACAAGAGUUUUCAUCUGACAAGCUUUAUUUGGCUGGAAAG